rnacentral:lncRNA from 1 species
CCAGGUGGUACUUCUCAGGAGAUAGAAUUACCUAUGUGGAAGUGAGAGUUCAUUAUAGGACUUCCAAGGUCCCGAAAUCAAUAUGACUCCAUUUGGGUAAUUGUGGACAGGAUAACCAAAUCUGCCCAUUUUCUUUUAGUGCGCAUAGAUUAUUCGGGGGAUGACUAUGCUAAGCUGUACAUUCGGGACAUAGUCCGAUU